AUUUUUUUUAGUCAGCGCCAUUUUAGCUCGCCCACCGCCUAGCAACUGUUGGAAUAACGAUACGUGAUAACACAACUGUUUGACUUCUGGGGACUUCACAUCUCUUUUCGAGUCAAGCCCGACAACACUUUUCUAAACUAAAAAGACACCUUUUUUCAGUGAUUGUUGUAACCUUUCAAAUUAAGUUAAUGGCUGAUGGCAUUGCUAAGAUCUAGGAAUCUACUUAAAACACUGCAUUCAAACUUCAGUAGAUGAUGACUUUGAGGAAACAACUUUCUGGACCUUUGUGACAAAAGAAAGUGGUGAAAUUGUACUCUUUUUAUCAACAGUAUUUAUUUAAUUUACUGGUUUUAACUUUUAAUGACAUGUUUUUGCUGUAUCCACUUUAUUUAACAAGAGACACAAUGGAGAGAGAUCAGGAUUGCAGCACCAGGACCUAGGUGGAAGUGAACUUUGGUUGCUACAAUAAUGGUGUUGUACGCAACAAGGACCUCUUCAAUCUCUUUUUCCUGACAGUAUCCAUUUGGAUUUCGAUACUUUUCAAGAAUAAAUAGCACUGGAAAUUUCAGUGCUUCCAACUUUGCAGAAAUGUGGGAUGGCCAAGUCUCAGAGUGCUAAGCUUCAAGGAUCAUGUCAGCACCAGCUCAAAGUUCCAGUUUUCUGAACAUUGUAUUCUGUGAGCAAGAGACUCUGUCCAACCUCUCUUCAGUCAAGUCUGGACCCAAUAAGACAGCAGUCUCAAGGACAAUUAAUGAUAGAUCAUGCCAAUCCACAUUGAAAUAGUGACAACAUUCAAGUCUUCAAGCAGUACAUUUCCAGUUUCUCGAACUGACUCAGUCCCAUGUCUUCCGUCAAGUGUGGACUCAUUACUGUUGUUCAACCAGACAAGCGGCCCUGAUUGAUGUUUAUGUCAUCAUUGAUUAUCCUGAAUUUAUAUGGACACAUUUUAUUUCCAAGAUCAACACGUCUUUGUGAGUACACUGGUCAAGUUAUUGGAUCAGCUCAGACUGUUUUAACACAGUGCCUGUGUGCAGAAUCUGUUUCUUUAAAAUCUAAUAAUUAUGGUUUGUGCCUUGAUUUACUAUAGACAGUAUUUAUUAGUUAAUUUAGCAAUUCCAAUAACCUGACUGAUUACUGUAAAAUCUGUGGCAAACAACUGUAAUGCCUUUUGUAUUUUACCGU